rnacentral:rRNA from 1 species
AUUGAACGCUGGCGGCAUGCCUUACACAUGCAAUCGAACGGCAGCAUGAUCUAGCUUGCUAGAUUGAUGGCGAGUGGCGAACGGGUGAGUAAUACAUCGGAACGUGCCCUGUAGUGGGGGAUAACUAGUCGAAAGAUUAGCUAAUACCGCAUACGACCUGAGGGUGAAAGUGGGGGACCGCAAGGCCUCAUGCUAUAGGAGCGGCCGAUGUCUGAUUAGCUAGUUGGUGAGGUAAAGGCUCACCAAGGCGACGAUCAGUAGCUGGUCUGAGAGGACGAUCAGCCACACUGGGACUGAGACACGGCCCAGACUCCUACGGGAGGCAGCAGUGGGGAAUUUUGGACAAUGGGCGAAAGCCUGAUCCAGCAAUGCCGCGUGUGUGAAGAAGGCCUUCGGGUUGUAAAGCACUUUUGUCCGGAAAGAAAUGGCUCUGGUUAAUACCUGGGGUCGAUGACGGUACCGGAAGAAUAAGGACCGGCUAACUACGUG